UACGAAGGGGGCUAGCGUUGCUCGGAAUCACUGGGCGUAAAGGGUGCGUAGGCGGGUCUUUAAGUCAGGGGUGAAAUCCUGGAGCUCAACUCCAGAACUGCCUUUGAUACUGAAGAUCUUGAGUUCGGGAGAGGUGAGUGGAACUGCGAGUGUAGAGGUGAAAUUCGUAGAUAUUCGCAAGAACACCAGUGGCGAAGGCGGCUCACUGGCCCGUUACCGACGCUCAGGCGCGACAGCGUGGGGAGCAAACAGG
rnacentral:rRNA from 1 species